UAUAUAUGAAGGUUUUAGGGUUAAUUAUGAACUUAUGAAGAAGAAACCACCAAAAAAGAUUGAACCCAAAACAUUAAUAUGAGAACUUUAUAUACUCUUCAUAAUUUUUUUUAUAAAAAAAUAAGGUUUGUUUCUUGUGUUCAUCUGCGAUUUCUUUACCCCAGAAUAAUAAAAUUGUAAACAUAUUCGAUUAUGCUAAAAAAAUCGAUUGGAGUAGUUGAUUGAUACUAAUCAAGAGGCAAAAAGCCAUAUUUUUGUCUAUUUCAGUCCGUGAUUCGGUAUUGGAUUCGCCUAUUUCAGAAGGAAGUAGAUAAUUCAACAAUUUGAUCAAUUUUCUACCUAAUGUCUUCUUGGAAAUAUAUUGGAAACUGGUGGAGUUGCUUUGUCUCAACCUGUCUGUUCGUUCAAUAUGAUUUAUUCACAUUUGAUUCAUGGCAUCAACAUCAUCGUGGAUUUAUGUUCGAUUCGACAUCGUCACUCAUGAUUCGUGUUUCAACCUUCUUAGCUCAUGUUCGCCAAUAUCGUUUCGAUUCAACAAUAACAACUAAUUAAAAGCGGAUUGAAGCAAAACUCACCAGUUUUGACGCGGAGGCAAAACAUGACAUUCUCAUUUGAUGAAUUUUGGCUAGAAUAUUUGUGUGGUCAAAUUAUGGAAUGAGGUUACUUAUUGGAUUGUUAUGUAGUAGACUUAUUUGGGCUUGAUUAUAAGUUUGUAAUGAAUGGAAUAUUGUAUUGUAUGGGAAUCUAUUGAAAUGUUAACAUGGAAAGUAGAAUUGAAUAUGAGCAUUAGAAAUUGUAUUGGUGAAAUGUUUUAGUUUAAAGAAAAGUUAAUUGUGAAA